AAAGUUGGAAUUGGUGUCUAAAGAUUACCAACAAGACGAAGGAAUUAUCACCUUCAAGCGAUGCAGGCAUCAUUCAGUCGGUUAUGCAUCGCUACCGUAGUU
rfam:Marine metagenome ctg_1101668090775, whole genome shotgun sequence.